GUACAGCUGUGGUUCCGGUGUGUGCUAAGCGAUAUAAUCACUCUCUGAGAAUACCAGACAGGAGGCUUUCAGUAACACCCUGCUUUGAGGAUGGCACUCAGCAUAAGGCCCAAUGGUGGAAGGUGACUCUAGUAUUUCCCUAUAGGCAGAUAGUGCUCUAGGCCAGUGGUGGAAGGUGACUCUAGUAUUUCCCUGUAAGCAGACAGUGCUCUUGGCCAGCAGCGGAAGGUGAGUAUAGUAUUUCCUAGUAAUUAGACAGUGCUCUAGGCCAGUGGCGGAAGGUGACCUUAGUAUUUCCCCAUAAGGAGACAGUGCUCUAGGCCAGCGGUGGAAGGUGAGUCUAGUAUUUCGCCGUAAGCAGACAGUGCUCUUGGCCAGCAGUGGAAGGUGAGUAUAGUAUUUCACCGUAAGUAGACAGUGCUGUAGGCCAGCGGUGGAAGGUGACUCUAGUAUUUCCCCACAAGGAGGCAGUGCUCUAGGACAGCGGUCCCCAAAAUUUUUGGCACCAGGGACUGGUUUCAUGGAGGACAAUUUUUUUACCGACUGAGGCUCAGCGACUAGCUUUGGGAUGAUUUACGACUUGGGAUGAGGCCCUGGCUUUGAGAUGAUUCUAAGUUCGUUACAUUUAUUGUGUACUUUAUUAUUAUUACAUCAUCCCCACCUCAGAUCCUCAGGCUUUAGAUCCUAGUGGCUGUGGACACCUGCUCUAGCAAGCAUUCCACAGAGAAGUUUCUUAAGCUCUACUUCUUGAGAAUAAGUAGAGCUGGGAAGACAUCUUCAGUCUACCCUCUUUUAAUGCUUACUGCGUGGGAAAUUUGUCCUUUCAAAUCUCAGUCAUUUUUCUAAGCUCUGAUGGGAUGAAGGCCAAAGCAAAAUGAGCCUUGUUCUGACUAGCUGCCUUUAGCACGUUAGAUAAUUAACUGUUGAUGGAUCAGUGAGAGCAUUUUCUGUUAGUAAAACACCCGACAUUUAGAAGAUUUGACUAAAAUAAGCAGAGCACAAUAGCUUAGUGUUUAGUGGAAUUCUUCAAGUCUGUAAUAACCAUCUGUAAAAUUCAUCUUGUUUGAAUUAGCAAAGCCUGCUAACAGACAAUAAGUGACACCAGUGGCUGGGCGUUUUGAAAUGCUUUUCGCCCUUGGUCCUUUAACAUUUGGGAUGCUUCUUGGGUUAUUUAUAAAUUACAAAUGGGGGGGGGCUGCAAUUUCAUGAUUUUAAUAUGGGACAAAUAACAGUAUAUUACAAAAUGUUAUUUCUCCCUCAGCAUUUCUAUAGAGAUGAAGUCUGACUAAGAUGAGCAUCAACAGUUAUAUAGAUGGGAAAAAGACAUCCCCCCAAAAUAAAACAUGUCCUGAA
ensembl:lncRNA